rnacentral:ncRNA from 1 species
GGGCAGGAUAGGUGAAGUAGGCCCACCAACAAGUUGAUGGUUCCUAUUUCACUCGUCCUUUAUUCGCACCUUCGGGCUCAACGGUCCCCUGCUCUACGAG